rnacentral:rRNA from 1 species
GAUGAACGCUAGCGGCAGGCUUAAUACAUGCAAGUCGAGGGGCAGCAUGAGUGUAGCAAUACAUUUGAUGGCGACCGGCAAACGGGUGCGGGACACGUACACAACCUUCCUAUAAGUGGGGAAUAGCCCAGAGAAAUUUGGAUUAAUACCCCGUAACAUAAUGAUGUGGCAUCACAUUAUUAUUAUAGCUUCGGCGCUUAUUGAUGGGUGUGCGGCUGAUUAGAUAGUUGGCGGGGUAACGGCCCACCAAGUCUACGAUCAGUAGCUGAUGUGAGAGCAUGAUCAGCCACACGGGCACUGAGACACGGGCCCGACUCCUACGGGAGGCAGCAGUAAGGAAUAUUGGUCAAUGGACGCAAGUCUGAACCAGCCAUGCCGCGUGAAGGAUUAAGGUCCUCUGGAUUGUAAACUUCUUUUAUCUGGGACGAAAAAAGGCGAUUCUUCGUCACUUGACGGUACCAGAUGAAUAAGCACCGGCUAACUCCGUGCCAGCCGCCGCGGUAAAAC